AUUGAACGCUGGCGGCAUGCUUUACACAUGCAAGUCGAACGGCAGCGCGGGCUUCGGCCUGGCGGCGAGUGGCGAACGGGUGAGUAAAGCAUCGGAACGUGCCCAGUAGUGGGGGAUAGCCCGGCGAAAGCCGGAUUAAUACCGCAUACGACCUGAGGGUGAAAGCGGGGGACCGAAAGGCCUCGCGCUAUUGGAGCGGCCGAUGUCGGAUUAGCUAGUUGGUGGGGUAAAGGCUUACCAAGGCGACGAUCCGUAGCUGGUCUGAGAGGACGACCAGCCACACUGGGACUGAGACACGGCCCAGACUCCUACGGGAGGCAGCAGUGGGGAAUUUUGGACAAUGGGGGCAACCCUGAUCCAGCCAUGCCGCGUGCGGGAAGAAGGCCUUCGGGUUGUAAACCGCUUUUGUUCGGGAAGAAAUCCUCUGGGCUAAUACCCCGGGGGGAUGACGGUACCGGGAGAAUAAGCACCGGCUAACUACGUG
rnacentral:rRNA from 1 species